CUAGCACGGCUACAGACACCCAGUGAC
rnacentral:piRNA from 1 species